CCAAAAUAUGGGGGGUGGUUGGAGGACCUGGAGGAGCUGAGCGCACAAUGCGGCCUCAAUGUGUGGAGCUGGCACCAACAGGUGGGGGGGGGACCCCAAAUUUGGGGGUCCCCAUUCUUGGGGUCCGCAUUUUGGGGUCUCCAUUUUGGGGGUCCCCGUUUUAGGGUCUCAUUUUGGGGGUCCUCUUUUUGGGGUCCUCAUUUAGGGGUCCCCAUUUUGGGGUCUCCAUUUUGGGGUCCCCUUUAGGGGUUCCCCAUUUUGGGGUCCCCAUUUUGGGGUUCCCAUUUUGGGCUCUCCAUUUAGGGGUCCCCAUUUUGGGGGUCCCCAUUUUAGGCUCUGAUUUUGGGAUCCCCUUUAGGGGUUCCACAUUUGGGGUCCCCAAUUUGGGGUCCCCAUUUUGGGCUCUCCAUUUUGGGGUCCCCUUUAGGGGUUCCCCAUUUUGGGGUCCCCAUUUUGGGGUCCCCAUUUUGGGGUCCCCAUUUUGGGCUCUCCAUUUAGGGGUCCCCAUUUUGGGGGUCUCAUUUUGGGGGUCUCAUUUUGGGGGUCACCUUUAGGGGUUCCACAUUU
rnacentral:lncRNA from 1 species